rnacentral:rRNA from 1 species
UAGGGAAUCUUCGGCAAUGGACGAAAGUCUGACCGAGCAACGCCGCGUGAGUGAAGAAGGUUUUCGGAUCGUAAAACUCUGUUGUUAGAGAAGAACAAGGACGUUAGUAACUGAACGUCCCCUGACGGGAUCUAACCAGAAAGCCACGGCUAACUACGUGCCAGCAGCCGCGGUAAUACGUAGGUGGCAAGCGUUGUCCGGAUUUAUUGGGCGUAAAGCGAGCGCAGGCGGUUUCUUAAGUCUGAUGUGAAAGCCCCCGGCUCAACCGGGGAGGGUCAUUGGAAACUGGGAGACUAGAGUGCAGAAGAGGAGAGUGGAAUUCCAUGUGUAGCGGUGAAAUGCGUAGAUAUAUGGAGGAACACCAGUGGAGAAGGCGGCUCUCUGGUCUGUAACUGACGCUGAGGCUCGAAAGCGUGGGGAGCAAACAGG